rnacentral:rRNA from 1 species
CCUACGGGAGGCAGCAGUGAGGAAUAUUGGUCAAUGGACGAGAGUCUGAACCAGCCAUGUAGCGUGAAGGAUGACUGCCCUAUGGGUUGUAAACUUCUUUUAUAUGGGAAUAAAACAGGGUAUGCAUACCCUCUUGUAUGUACCAUAUGAAUAAGGAUCGGCUAACUCCGUGCCAGCAGCCGCGGUAAUACGGAGGAUCCGAGCGUUAUCCGGAUUUAUUGGGUUUAAGGGGAGCGUAGGUGGAUUUUUAAGUUAGUUGUGAAAUUUUGCUGCUCAACAGUAAAAUUGCAGUUGAUACUGGCAGUCUUGAGUACAGUUGCAGCGGGCGGAAUUCGUGGUGUAGCGGUGAAAUGCUUAGAUAUCACGAAGAACUCCGAUUGCGAAGGCAGCUCACUGGACUGCAACUGACACUGAUGCUCGAAAGUGUGGGGAUCAAACAGGAUUAGAUACCCCUGUAGUC